rnacentral:misc_RNA from 1 species
GAUGAAGAACGUAGCGAAAUGCGAUAAGUAAUGUGAAUUGCAGAAUUCAGUGAAUCAUCGAAUCUUUGAACGCACAUUGCGCCCAUUAGUAUUCUAGUGGGCAUGCCUGUUCGAGCGUCAUUAAGUCCACUUAAGCCCUGCUUAGUGUUGGGAGACUGCUCCAGCGGUGCUACCCUGUAGCUACCCUGCAGCUCCUCAAAGACAGCGGCGGAGUUGUGGUAUCCUCUGAGCUUAGUAACUUGUUCUAGCUUUCGAGUACACCAAUUCCCCUGCCGUAAAACCCUUAAUUUUUAAUGGUUGACCUCGGAUCAGGUAGGAAUACCCGCUGAACUUAAGCAUAUCAAUAAGCGGAGGA